UGCCAGCCGCCGCGGUAAUACGUAGGGAGCAAGCGUUGUCCGGAAUUACUGGGCGUAAAGGGUGCGUAGGCGGCAUAUUAAGUCAGGUGUGAAAUCUUUGGGCUCAACCCAGAACGUGCAUCUGAAACUGAUAAGCUUGAGUGUGAGAGAGGAAAGUGGAAUUCCUAGUGUAGAGGUGAAAUUCGUAGAUAUUGGGAAGAACACCAGUGGCGAAGGCGGCUAACUGGCUCGGUACUGACGCUGAGAUGCGAAAGCGUGGGGAGCAAACAGGAUUAGAUA
rnacentral:rRNA from 1 species